GAGAACAUAUUUGGAAAUAAAAAAUUUAAGUAAAAAGUAAACUUGAUACAGUCUCACCAUUCUUUCAGUGCUCCAAUUAUUUUUGUUUUAACAUUUGGCCGUUGUUUUGUGAAUAUUAAAAUCAAGAUUAAUCUAGGUCAGAGUUACUUUACAACUAUUUUUCUAACCUCUAAUAAAAACGUGAAGGUGAUAUUAUUGUAGACACAACAGUAAAUCAAUCCCAUUUUACUGUACGCUCUGUUUUCUGCUCUCUUUUUUUUUUUUUAAUUGUGAAAAAAAAAAUUUCUUUCUCCUCAACCACGUCGACAACCAUCCUAACCGUAUUCCACCACCAUACUCCUUACUUUCUUUUUCAUUCUUUUCAUUCCUACUUUUUUCGUCAAAUCUCUUCUUCUUUGAUUACAUAUUCUCACUUCAUCUUUCAUUCUAUUUUUCUUCAUUGGCUUUUAAUAAGCUUGUGGUGUAGGCAUGGGAAGACAACAACGUUGGGUACCUACGUGUAUGGAAAUUGAUUUUCUUCGAUGUAUAUUUGAUGGAGGAAAUAAAACUCCAAAUAAUGCAAAAAUUCUACAUAUAGUCUCCACCUUACAAAAUCCUGUUAUUUCUGAAAAAAAAUAUUCGUGAUUGGUUUAAGAAUAGACGAGCUUCUGAAAGAAAGAGAAAACAUACGUGCAUUGAGGAUGCUCGACCUAAAAAUCUGCAUCAAGUGCCUUCUUCUGCAGAUCGACGUUUACGAAUAUUCACAGGUUGUAUUUAGCAAUGUUUAUGUUUCUUUGGUGUUUGUAUUUGUUUUUAUUUGAUUUUGUCAAAAAAAAAAAAAAAAAAAAAAUUGAGGUACCGUGUGUUUGGAGAUUGUUUUUUUUUUUUUGUGCGGGGUUCUUGGUUGGUGGCAUUCUGUGCGGGGACUCCCAGUUUGUGCGGCUAUUGGUGCGAGCGACGCGGGGACGUCGCACCAGUUUGUGCGGGGGAUUUGUGCAAUCCGCACCAAUUUUCAUCAAAAUCUUUUUUUUUAAAUAAAAUAUUAGAAAUUUUAAAUCUAUUUUUUUUAAAUACCUCUUGUUUGUCG
rnacentral:lncRNA from 1 species